rnacentral:rRNA from 1 species
GAAGGGUGCAAGCGUUACACGGAAUUACUGGGCGUAAAGCGUGCGCAGGCGGUUAUGUAAGACAGAUGUGAAAUCCCCGGGCUCAACCUGGGAACUGCAUUUGUGACUGCAUGGCUAGAGUACGGUAGAGGGGGAUGGAAUUCCGCGUGUAGCAGUGAAAUGCGUAGAUAUGCGGAGGAACACCGAUGGCGAAGGCAAUCCCCUGGACCUGUACUGACGCUCAUGCACGAAAGCGUGGGGAGCAAACAGGAUUAGAUACCCUGGUAGUCCACGCCCUAAACGAUGUCAACUGGUUGUUGGGAAUUAGUUUUCUCAGUAACGAAGCUAACGCGUGAAGUUGACCGCCUGGGGAGUACGGCCGCAAGGUUG